rnacentral:sRNA from 1 species
AAUAAUUUGUUAGGUGAGGCUCCUAUAAGGAAAGAUGCUGCUGCCCAGAAAAAUCUAGAGAUUCCAAUGGGUUAACAGGAAUCAUCGCUAAGGUGAUUUUUAAUGUAGCUGACUAUUAUUUAUCAUAGUCUACGCUUUAUAGUGCUAAAGCUCUACAAU